rnacentral:lncRNA from 11 species
AUGAUGAAAUUUGCCAGAAUGGAAGCAAAAAUUAAGUACUCUUUGCCUAUCAAGUUUCAUAAUGUUUGACCCAUCCACUGAUUUUUGGGGAUUUCUGAAGCAACAUUUUUUUAAAAUGUUAGCAGAUCGAUAGCCACGCCUCCCUGUCCUUCCACUUCCUUCCACUUUGAUUGGCUUGCUAAGGCUUCUGGGAAAUGGAGUUUUUUCUCUCGUUAUGGAGAAUUGCUUCAUUAAUGGUCAAUAUUCAGAGGCUUCGUUCUCCUGCAUUAUGAAAGCUAUUAUGAUGAAAUUUGCCAGAAUGGAAGCAAAAAUUAAGUACUCUUUGCCUAUCAAGUUUCAUAAUGUUUGACCCAUCCACUGAUUUUUGGGGAUUUUUGAAGCAACAUUUUUUUAAAAAUGCUAGCAGAUCGAUGUCCCAUGCCUCUCCCUCCCUCCCUCUUCCGCUCUGAUUGACUGAGAGGCAUGCCAACAUGGCUUCUCCUCUACAGCUUCAUCCGAAGACAUCAGAAACAAACAAAAAAAGCCACAGCCAGUUAUGUCGAGAGCGCGCCGUGGAUACAAAGGAAACCUGACCCCGAAGGGUUUAGUGACACUGUCCAAUGGUAAG